rnacentral:rRNA from 1 species
AUUGAACGCUGGCGGCAGGCCUAACACAUGCAAGUCGAGCGGUAACAGGAAAUAGCUUGCUAUUUUGCUGACGAGCGGCGGACGGGUGAGUAACGCGUAGGAAUUUGCCCAGUAGUGGGGGAUAGCCCGGAGAAAUUCGGAUUAAUACCGCAUACGCCCUAAGGGGGAAAGCAGGGGAUCUUCGGACCUUGCGCUAUUGGAUAAGCCUGCGUGAGAUUAGCUAGUUGGUGAGGUAAGGGCUCACCAAGGCGACGAUCUCUAGCUGGUCUGAGAGGAUGAUCAGCCACACUGGAACUGAGACACGGUCCAGACUCCUACGGGAGGCAGCAGUGGGGAAUAUUGCACAAUGGGCGAAAGCCUGAUGCAGCCAUGCCGCGUGUGUGAAGAAGGCUCUAGGGUUGUAAAGCACUUUCAGUAGGGAGGAAAAGUCGAUAGUUAAUACCUAUCGGCCGUGACGUUACCUACAGAAGAAGCACCGGCUAACUCCGUG